UACGGAGGGUGCAAGCGUUGUUCGGAAUUACUGGGCGUAAAGAGUGCGUAGGCGGCUUAGCAAGUUGGGAGUGAAAUCCCGGGGCUCAACCUCGGAAUUGCUCUCAAAACUGCUGAGCUAGAGUAUGGUAGGGGAUAGUGGAAUUCCUAGCGUAGGGGUGAAAUCCGUAGAUAUUAGGAGGAACACCAGAGGCGAAGGCGACUAUCUGGGCCAUUACUGACGCUAAGGUACGAAAGCGUGGGGAGCAAACAGG
rnacentral:rRNA from 1 species